AGUGAACGCUGGCGGUAGGCCUAACACAUGCAAGUCGAACGGCAGCACAGUAAGAGCUUGCUCUUACGGGUGGCGAGUGGCGGACGGGUGAGGAAUACAUCGGAAUCUACUUUUUCGUGGGGGAUAACGUAGGGAAACUUACGCUAAUACCGCAUACGACCUACGGGUGAAAGCAGGGGAUCUUCGGACCUUUCGCGAUUGUAUGAGCCGAUGUCGGAUUAGCUAGUUGGCGGGGUAAAGGCCCACCAAGGCGACGAUCCGUAGCUGGUCUGAGAGGAUGAUCAGCCACACUGGAACUGAGACACGGUCCAGACUCCUACGGGAGGCAGCAGUGGGGAAUAUUGGACAAUGGGCGCAAGCCUGAUCCAGCCAUACCGCGUGGGUGAAGAGGGCCUUCGGGUUGUAAAGCCCUUUUGUUGGGAAAGAAAAGAAGCAGGUUAAUACCCCGCUGUUCUGACGGUACCCAAAGAAUAAGCACCGGCUAACUUCGUG
rnacentral:rRNA from 1 species